AAACCUUAACCGCCUUCUCUCUUCAAUUCUCUAGAUUACCACCGCCUUCUCCAUCUGCAUCCUUUUCUUCAUCUUCUUCAAUCGAUUUAUAAAAUUGUUCUUUGAUCCAAUCGAUUUAUAAAAUUGUUAAUUUCUUAGUUUAAUCAUUCUCUUACUAUCGAUUUGUUCUUGAAGCAGGUAUUUUUUUUCUGAAACCAUCAUUUAAUCUCGUAUUUGUAGAUGUUUUACUUUGAUUUCAUCCUCACCUUAUACACAAACCCUAAAACUCUUCAUGUUCCAUCGAAGGCUUGAAACGCUUCUCAUUCCUCUCUCAACUUUCUAUGAGAUUGGAGUUUCCAUGGUCUGAUUAGAAAUUGAAGGAUCGAGACUUGCUUCUUGCUUCAUCGCAACAAAUCAAAUUAAUCCUAAAUCUACUUCAUUAACGAAUUCCCAGUCUCUUUAAUCCUUGGUGUUUUGGUUGCUGAUUAUUAAUCCGUUUUGAGGCAGAAAUCAGGCGACCUAUCUCUAAGUUAUUAUUAGUCCGUCGUAGAUAGGCUUGACAUGCUUGAAUCAGGACUAUUUUCUUUACCUUUCAUGGUUAAGAGAGGACUUGGAUAUGUUUGGCAUCUUGGAGCUUUGAGCUGUAGGUUUCAUGAUAAAGUGUUCGGUAAAUUUCAUAGUUGUUACUGGAAAAGCAUAAAAUUACACAAAAGGAUGCCUAAGUACUUUUUAGGCGUUUGAAGGUACCUUAACAUGACAAAAGAUAUGUUUGUUGAACGUUAUCCUUUUCACCACGGUAAUUGCAACUGUGAACCAUGCAUACCUAAUGUACAUCCUUGGAUCAACAAGAAAAAUGAUUUGGGACCAAAUGUUGAUGAGAGGGUUCAAGGCUCCAAGAUUAUUCUAAUAUGUAAGGGAGAUGAAGAUCGAUGUUGAAAUUAAAGGGAUCCGCAACCGAUUGGUAGAAACAUGGGGCUGGCUUUAUGAGCGGUGAGUAUGAAAUUGACUCAAGUUGGAGCGAUUUAUUUGGCUGAUGUUGAUGCUGAUGAAGAUGGAUGUUGAAAUUAAAGCUGCUGCAAUGGAGUUUAGCAAACCGAGCAAGCCCAGGGUUUCGUACACAAGACCGUUUAGCCUAUCCGUAGCUAACCUUUCUAAUCUUUGUUUUAUACAAGAAAGUAUACUUUAGCUUAGUAACAUAUUUGCACAAUGUGAUUGUACUUUAUGCAUAAAUAAUAGUACCUUGAAAGAUGUAGUUGUUGCUGGAGUCCAACAAAAGAACCCAAACGAUGAAUGGUUGGUAAUCGAUUUACAAUCCAACUACAAACGGUACAUGCGGUGAGGUAAGUUGUUUUUGCCUUCGAAUGGAUAUGAUGAAGCGCCAUAUGCUCAUGUGAGUGAUCGAUUUAAAGCUUGAGAUGAAGCCCAGAAAAAGUAUUUUAAAGAGCAGCAGUUGAAAAGGCUUGAAGAAAAGAACAAUACUGAAACUGUUGAAGAAGGCAGUGACAAUGAAGCCAAAGUUGAUGAAAGCAAGCAAAUGGAUUUUGCUAAAGCCGAGAAACAUGUGCGUACUAUUAGUGGUGGGUCCACAAGAACUAUGAGGAACCUCUGUAUUCGAGAAGAUACAACAAAAUAUCUUCCUAAUCUUGAUGUUAAUUCAGCUCAGUAUGACCCAAAAACUCGAUUUAGCAUGAGGAUCCUCUUCUAGAUAUGGAUCCGAAUGAGAAGUUAUACGCUGGGGCUAAUCAACAUAGAGUAAGUGAUCAAGCUUGGAGUUUAAGCAGCUUGGGAAGCAUAAUGAUGUGUACAUGCAAGCUGCUCCUUCACAGGCUGAAUUAUUUUUCAAAAAUUACAAGAUAACAAAGAAAAUUGAAAUCUAAAGUUAAGGAGACGGUUUUGGAGGAAUAUGGGAAUGCAGCCGUGAAGACCCACUUCCAAGAGAGCUAUUAUCGGGUCAAAGUGAGAGAGAAGUUGAGCAUGAUCGUGCUGGUAGAUUUAUUAAGAGACAAGAAAUGGCCCUUCGCAAGAGCAAAUAUGAAGAGGAUGUUCACAUUAAUAACCACACAGGUGUUUGGGCUUCAUGGUAGAAAGAUCAUCAAUGGGGUUAUAGAUGCUGCAAGCAGUUUGUAAGAAAUAGUUACUGUACAUGAGUUGCUGGAAUCGAGGCUGCUGAGGCAGCAACAGAUCUUAUAAAACCUAAUAUCGCCCGUAAAGAGGCAACUAAAGGCGAAAUCUCCCCCUCCCGCCUUGCUAUCUCAUCUUUUGUUGUUUUUUGUUCAUGUUUAAUGAUUUUACUUGAUAAUAGCAUGGUUUUGUAUCAUCAAAUGUAAACAACUCCAACGGAAGAGAAACAAUCUGCCACAUAGGGAACAUACAUACCUGAUGAUUUGGCUUUGGAUCAAGAGGAAAUUGCUGAAGCACUUAAGAAGGAAAGGCGCCAGUGAAAUGAGGUGAUUGAAACUGAGUAUCCUAUAAUCAGUUAUCAGUCAGUCGAGAAGCUUAAAUUAAAGGGUAUAACUCUUAAUGUGAAGAACUUACUAUGAACCAUUUCUUGGUACUAAGAACCAUUAGUUUAUGCCAUUUUGUAUCAAGCACUACUGACACACAAUGGUGUUUUCUUAUACGAUUAUGUACACACUUUUAUUAUCAUUUGUUGUUUUAUAUAGCUAAUACGAGUCCUCAAAGGACAUUAAUUGGUUGUAACUAGUAAGUUGCAUCUUUAUAGAUUUGUUUAAAAAACAAUACUUUACUUUGUCAGUUAUGAAUUAAAGAAAUGUUGUUACCAUGGGCAUUUAUUAUUAAGUAUAUUGUAUACAUAUGACUAAUGCAUUAGGAUUUUACGUUUGAGGUUAUUUAUCAAAUUGGUUGUUGCUUAUUAUAAUAUGAAC
rnacentral:lncRNA from 1 species